GGUUUCAGUUGUUCAUAUUGAAGGUUUCAGGUGAUUUUACAACUCUGAAUGUUCAUAUUAAUGGUUUCAGUUGUUCUUUCAAAGACAUUGGCUGAAGAUGUUGCAUGAUCGUUGGUGGCGAAGGUGCAUAGCUGAACUAAUGAAGCAAUUCUUCGCAAGAGGCUAAAGCUAAUGAGAUAGCUAAAUUGAUGAAUGAGAAUGAACCAUUCCAAGAUUUAAUUGAAGAUUUAAAGAAAGGGAUGAUGCUAUGCUUGAUAGUGUGGAAUUAACAGGAAGUACAAGUUGGCGUGGAGUUGAUAGGUUCUUUAGGUGUGAUUUACACUCAUUAGGUGUGGUAAAGUAUUUUUGGUUGGCUUGGUUUGAUGUUGGUGCUGCCAUCAAAUUUGUAUACUAUGUUUGAUAUUUUUGGCUUGGUUUCAUCAGUGGCUAUUAUCCUACAUUUUAGAGAGCUUUCGUCUUGAAUGCAUGAGCACAACCUCUGCGGAUAUCUCUCAGGUUUCGAGGAGGAGUUCAGGUUCUGGUAAAAUAAUGGUUUUUACUUUGUUCUUUGCUUAGUUAACUAGUGUUCUUUGUAGUUGAAGAAACAGUUUCAGCCAAGAAAAAGUUGUCGUCUUGCACUACAAGAAAAUAGCCAUUUAUUGGCGGCCAAAAGCCCUCAGGAAGAGGCAAAAACCGCCAGAAAGUGAGGAUUUAGUGGCGGCCAACUGGCGGCCACGUUACGCCAGUAAAUAAGGCGUCGGUAAUGUUCUUGGCGGCCAAAGCCGUCGCAAACUAGCCUGACGAAAUAUACUGGCGGCCCAGACCGCCACGAGCCAGCAACGGUCAAUUCAAGGACCAAAGCCAUUACUGGCGGCCUCGACCGCUGCAAACUGAUAGCGUCAGAACUACUGGCGGCCUGGACCGCCACUACAAAUUCCUAGGUUUGACCAGUUAG